rnacentral:rRNA from 1 species
UACGAGGGGGGCGAGCGUUGUUCGGAAUUAUUGGGCGUAAAGGGUGCGUAGGCGGUUCCGCAAGUCCUGUGUGAAAUCUUCGGGCUCAACUCGAAGUCUGCACGGGAAACUGCGGGGCUUGAGUGUGGGAGAGGUGAGUGGAAUUCCCGGUGUAGCGGUGAAAUGCGUAGAUGUCGGGAGGAACACCUGUGGCGAAAGCGGCUCACUGGACCAUAACUGACGCUGAUGCACGAAAGCUAGGGGAGCAAACAGG